GAAUAUUGGACAAUGGGGGCAACCCUGAUCCAGCAAUGCCGCGUGAGUGAUGAAGGCCUUAGGGUUGUAAAGCUCUUUUACCCGAGAUGAUAAUGACAGUAUCGGGAGAAUAAGCUCCGGCUAACUCCGUGCCAGCAGCCGCGGUAAUACGGAGGGAGCUAGCGUUGUUCGGAAUUACUGGGCGUAAAGCGCACGUAGGCGGCGAUUUAAGUCAGAGGUGAAAGCCCGGGGCUCAACCCCGGAACUGCCUUUGAGACUGGAUUGCUAGAAUCUUGGAGAGGCGAGUGGAAUUCCGAGUGUAGAGGUGAAAUUCGUAGAUAUUCGGAAGAACACCAGUGGCGAAGGCGGCUCGCUGGACAAGUAUUGACGCUGAGGUGCGAAAGCGUGGGGAGCAAACAGG
rnacentral:rRNA from 1 species